UCAGGUGGUUAUAGCACGAGGGUUCCACCUCUUCCCAUUCCGAACAGAGAAGUUAAGCCUCGUCACGCCGAUGGUACUGCGUAACAGUGGGAGAGUAGGUAGCCG
rnacentral:rRNA from 1 species